CCUACGGGAGGCAGCAGUGAGGAAUAUUGGUCAAUGGGCGCAAGCCUGAACCAGCAACGCCGCGUGAGGGAAGACGGUCCUAUGGAUUGUAAACCUCUUUUGUCGGGGAGCAAAAGACGCCACGCGUGGCGUUCAGAGAGUACCCGACGAAAAAGCAACGGCUAACUCCGUGCCAGCAGCGGCGGUAAUACGGGGGAUGCGAGCGUUAGCCGGAUGUAUGGGGUGAAAGGGGUGCGAAGGGGGAAUAUCAAGUCAGCGGUAAAAGUACGGGGCUCAACCCCGUCGUGCCGUUGAAACUGAUGUUCUUGAGUGGGCGAGAGGUAUGCGGAAUGCGUGGUGUAGCGGUGAAAUGCAUAGAUAUCACGCAGAACACCGAUUGCGAAGGCAGCAUACCGGCGCCCAACUGACGCUGAGGCACGAAAGCGUGGGUAGCGAACAGGAUUAGAUACCCGUGUAGUC
rnacentral:rRNA from 1 species